rnacentral:misc_RNA from 1 species
GAUGAAGAACGCAGCGAAAUGCGAUACUUGGUGUGAAUUGCAGAAUCCCGUGAACCAUCGAGUCUUUGAACGCAAGUUGCGCCCGAAGCCACUAGGCCGAGGGCACGCCUGCCUGGGCGUCACACGUCGUUGCCCCCCCCCCAUCUACUCCUUCGGGAUUGCGGGGGGUGGAUGAUGGCCUCCCGUGCGCCUCGCCGCGCGGUUGGCAUAAAUGCCAAGUCCUCGGCGACGCACGCCACGACAAUCGGUGGUUGCGAAACCUCGGUUGCCCGUCGUGUGCGGUCGUCGCGCAUCGAGGGCUCGAAAAAAUUGCCGGGUUCCGGCUCGGCUUUCAACGCGACCCCAGGUCAGGCGGGGUUACCCGCUGAAUUUAAGCAUAUCAAUAAGCGGAGGA